GGGUUGUGGCGGCGGCUACACAUGCAAGUCGAGCGGAUGAGAAGAGCUUGCUCUUCGAUUCAGCGGCGGACGGGUGAGUAAUGCCUAGGAAUCUGCCUGGUAGUGGGGGACAACGUUUCGAAAGGAACGCUAAUACCGCAUACGUCCUACGGGAGAAAGCAGGGGACCUUCGGGCCUUGCGCUAUCAGAUGAGCCUAGGUCGGAUUAGCUAGUUGGUGGGGUAAUGGCUCACCAAGGCGACGAUCCGUAACUGGUCUGAGAGGAUGAUCAGUCACACUGGAACUGAGACACGGUCCAGACUCCUACGGGAGGCAGCAGUGGGGAAUAUUGGACAAUGGGCGAAAGCCUGAUCCAGCCAUGCCGCGUGUGUGAAGAAGGUCUUCGGAUUGUAAAGCACUUUAAGUUGGGAGGAAGGGCAGUAAGCGAAUACCUUGCUGUUUUGACGUUACCGACAGAAUAAGCACCGGCUAACUCUGUGCCAGCAGCCGCGGUAAUACAGAGGGUGCAAGCGUUAAUCGGAAUUACUGGGCGUAAAGCGCGCGUAGGUGGUUUGUUAAGUUGAAUGUGAAAGCCCCGGGCUCAACCUGGGAACUGCAUCCAAAAACUGGCAAGCUAGAGUACGGUAGAGGGUGGUUGAAU
rnacentral:rRNA from 1 species